CCUAGUAACUGCGAGUGAAAAGGGAAAAGCCCAGCGCCGAACCCUCCGUCCAGUUAAUAUGGGCGGAGGGCAAUGUGGCGUUAAGGAACAUCCUCCUUGACCAGAAGUAUCGUUGACCGUACCGUGCAAGCCUGAGUCCCCCUGACCGGGGCCACAGCCCAUGGCGGGUGCAAGGCCUCUCCGGCUAAAUCAACGGUGCGGAGGUUGCUGGAUGUCUCCUCAGAGUCGGGUUGCUUGAGAGUGCAGCCCUAAGCGGGUGGUAAACUCCACCGAAGGCUAAAUAUCACCACGAGACCGAUAGCGAACAAGUACCGUGAGGGAAAGUUGCAAAGAACUUUGAAGAGAGAGUUCAAGAGUACGUGAAACCGCUUGGAGGCAAACGGAUGGGCCCUCGAAGGUCGAACGGGGGGAUUCAGCCUGUCGGCAAAACCACACUCCCUUUAAACACCAGUUGAAAAGCAUUCGUGCGAAACGGAUCCUCUCAAGGACCGGGCUGGAGGGCUAUCAAACAAAACGUGUGGGCCGGCUCGUGCACUUCCCCCUUAGUAGGACGCCGCGACCGGUUGGGUUUUUGAAAAAAAAAAAAAGCGGCCAUUAGGCGAGAGAUCAAUGGGGCAGGUGUCCGUUUCCGUAAGGUCUUUGCUUUGAACACUUUCGUUGCUCCUCGGAGUUUCGUUGGUCCCUUCGGCAUUGGCCCCGGUCGGAGUUAUAGCCCUCUUCUCGACCCGAGCACCGCUACCCGACCGACAAAUGGUCACGAUUCCGUUGACGCGUGCCCGCUUUUAACUAAGCUCGCCCUAGGCCUGAGCAGGCUGGAUGCGUGAGUAAAAGUUUCUUUCCCCGGUCACGGGGGGGAAAUCCGACAAACGCCGGUCAAAAACCAAAAAGGCGGUCGUUGGCUCCGCGUCUGCCGUUGGCUCACGAGGCAAGAGCAAUCUGGCGUAGUGGCAUNNNNNNNNNNNNNNNNNNNNNNNNNNNNNNNNNNNNNNNNNNNNNNNNNNNNNNNGACCAAGGAGUCUAACAUGUGCGCAAGUCGUAGGGUCUGCUUUAACGAGCUAAACCCGAAGGCGAAAUGAAAGUGAAGGUCGCCCCUUCUCCUCGUGAGUUGGGGACGAACGGCCGAGGCGAGAUCCUAAUUCAUUAUUGUUUGAACCGGGCAUAAUAGGCACGUCCCGGUCCCUUUCGGGGGAUUGGGGCGGCUCGGAAGCGCAUCGCCGGCCCGUCCAAGCCGCUCUCAUAUUCGCGGGAGCUAAGUGUCGGACCUCCCCUAACUUUCUGGGCAACCGGGAUUAUUAGGAUGGUCGGCUGGUUCUUUGCGUUUUGGGAACCUAGUCGGUGAGGCGGAGCAAGAGCGCACACGUUGGGACCCGAAAGAUGGUGAACUAUGCCCGGGCAGGACGAAGCCAGAGGAAACUCUGGUGGAGGUCCGCAGCGAUUCUGACGUGCAAAUCGAUCGUCGGACCUGGGUAUAGGGGCGAAAGACUAAUCGAACCGUCUAGUAGCUGGUUCCCUCCGAAGUUUCCCUCAGGAUAGCUGGCGCUCAAGAAAGAAAGAAAAAACAGUCUCAUCCGGUAAAGCGAAUGAUUAGAGGCAUUGGGGCCGAAACGGCCUCAACCUAUUCUCAAACUUUCAAUGGGUGAGAUGUCCGGCUUGCUUAAACACGUUCUCGGACGGUUGAAGCACGGACGUAGGAUGCGAGUGCCCAGUGGGCCACUUUUGGUAAGCAGAACUGGCGCUGUGGGAUGAACCAAAAGCCGGGUUACGGCGCCCGAUGCGGACGCUUAUCAGACCCCAUGAAAGGUGUUGGUUGCUAUUGACAGCAGGACGGUGGCCAUGGAAGUCGGAAUCCGCUAAGGAGUGUGUAACAACUCACCUGCCGAAGCAACUAGCCCUGAAAAUGGAUGGCGCUCCAGCGUCGAGCCUAACCCCGGCCGCCGGUGGCAAAAGAAAACACUAAAAAAAACCAAUGCCCCGGUGAGUAGGAGGGUCGCGGUGGUGUGCGUUGAAGGGAUCGGGCGCGAGCCUGCCUGGAGCCGCCACCGGUGCAGAUCUUGGUGGUAGUAGCAAAUACUCGAGUGAGAACCUUGAGGACUGAAGUGGAGAAGGGUUCCAUGUGAACAGCAGUUGAACAUGGGUCAGUCGGCCCUAAGGAAUAGGGGAAACCCGUUCCGAAAAACCGGAAAUAAAAAAGUGCAAACAAAAAAGAUAAAAAUGACCGGUGCUGACCGAAAGGGAAUCGGGUUAAUAUUCCCGAACCCGGAUGCGGAGAUCGACCCUCGCGGGUCUGAAGCGGUAACGCGUAACGAACUCGGAGAAUGCCGACGAGGGCCCCGGGAAGAGUUUUCUUUUCUUUGUAAAGGACGGACUCCCUGGAAUCGGCUCGCCCGGAGAGAGGGAUGUUGUUCCUGUAAAGCACCGCGGCUCUUGCGGUGUCCGGAGCGCUCUCGUUGGCCCUUGAAAAUCCGAGGGAGUGAAAAAUGAUUUCCGCACCGGACCGUACCCAUAUCCGCAGCA
rnacentral:rRNA from 1 species